CUCAGCGGCGGACGGGUGAGUAACACGUGGGCAACCUGCCCUGCAGACUGGGAUAACUCCGGGAAACCGGAGCUAAUACCGGGUAAUACAUAGCAUCGCAUGAUGCAACGUUGAAAGUUGGCCUUUGGCUAACACUGUAGGAUGGGCCCGCGGCGCAUUAGCUAGUUGGUAAGGUAACGGCUUACCAAGGCCACGAUGCGUAGCCGACCUGAGAGGGUGAUCGGCCACACUGGGACUGAGACACGGCCCAGACUCCUACGGGAGGCAGCAGUAGGGAAUCUUCCGCAAUGGACGAAAGUCUGACGGAGCAACGCCGCGUGAGUGACGAAGGCCUUCGGGUCGUAAAGCUCUGUUGUUAGGGAAGAACAAGUACCGUUCGAAUAGGGCGGUACCUUGACGGUACCUAACCAGAAAGCCACGGCUAACUACGUGCCAGCAGCCGCGGUAAUACGUAGGUGGCAAGCGUUGUCCGGAAUUAUUGGGCGUAAAGCGCGCGCAGGCGGUCUCUUAAGUCUGAUGUGAAAGCCCACGGCUCAACCGUGGAGGGCCAUUGGAAACUGGGGGACUUGAGUGCAGAAGAGGAGAGUGGAAUUCCACGUGUAGCGGUGAAAUGCGUAGAUAUGUGGAGGAACACCAGUGGCGAAGGCGGCUCUCUGGUCUGUAACUGACGCUGAGGCGCGAAAGCGUGGGGAGCGAACAGGAUUAGAUACCCUGGUAGUCCACGCCGUAAACGAUGAGUGCUAGGUGUUGGGGGCUUCCACCCUCAGUGCUGAAGUUAACACAUUAAGCACUCCGCCUGGGGAGUACGACCGCAAGGUUGAAACUCAAAGGAAUUGACGGGGGCCCGCACAAGCAGUGGAGCAUGUGGUUUAAUUCGAAGCAACGCGAAGAACCUUACCAGGUCUUGACAUCCUCUGCCACUCCUAGAGAUAGGACGUUCCCCUUCGGGGGACAGAGUGACAGGUGGUGCAUGGUUGUCGUCAGCUCGUGUCGUGAGAUGUUGGGUUAAGUCCCGCAACGAGCGCAACCCUUGAUCUUAGUUGCCAGCAUUCAGUUGGGCACUCUAAGGUGACUGCCGGUGACAAACCGGAGGAAGGUGGGGACGACGUCAAAUCAUCAUGCCCCUUAUGACCUGGGCU
rnacentral:rRNA from 1 species